UCUCAACGCAAAAGGUUUGGCAGGU
rnacentral:piRNA from 1 species